UUUUCAUCCUUUCCAUGAUUAUAUGCCACAAGAGGGAAGUCAAGUGCUUGAGACUGGACCCCACCAGUAAUUACUUCUUGCUGAUUCAGCACACCUACAGCGAAUUAUUCUCUUUCUUCCAUCAGGGCGCCUGUAUUCUCUUUGUUUCACAGGACUAGAAAUCGAAGCAGAAGUUGUCACUUUAUUUAUGCCAUCACGAGCAGUUCCCUCACCCUUCUUUGCAUCAUCAACUUGCUCAGAAGUCUUUGUUGUCACCCCCAAGUCAACAGAAGAUUUCACAGGCAUCUGAUUUUGCAGAAUAUCUGACACCACUUUUUUGGUUGCUGUUUGCUUGGCUGAAGCU
rnacentral:misc_RNA from 1 species